rnacentral:sRNA from 1 species
AGCGAUCUCUACAUUGGGAAAAAACAUGGAGUCAGCUCCGGCAGCCCCCGACCCCGCCGCCAGCGAGCCAGGCAGCAGCGGCGCGGACGCGGCCGCCGGCUCCAGGGAGACCCCGCUGAACCAGGAAUCCGCCCGCAAGAGCGAGCCGCCUGCCCCGGUGCGCAGACAGAGCUAUUCCAGCACCAGCAGAGGUAUCUCAGUAACGAAGAAGACACAUACAUCUCAAAUUGAAAUUAUUCCAUGCAAGAUCUGUGGAGACAAAUCAUCAGGAAUCCAUUAUGGUGUCAUUACAUGUGAAGGCUGCAAGGUAAGCCUUUUUAAUUGUCGUUGUUUCUAUUAAUGUUAGAAUGUAUCUUCGUGAUUUUUAUGUCUCCACUUAUGUCUUAAAAUUCAACUCCUUAGAAUUUUGAAUGAUAAGAAAUGACAGGAUAGAAGAAAUAUUUUGGUGUUAAAUUACAAUUAAGGAAGUUAUAUAUAUUUUUACUCCUUCCUUCAAAAUAAUAGGAGACUACAAAAAGGUAUUUGAGCAUUGCUUGUUUAU